AUUGAAACACCAGUUCUCGUACGAUCACCAAAGUUAAGCACCGUCGAUCCUGGUCAAUAACUUGACGGGUGACCGCUUGGGAAUAUCAGAUGCUGUAAG